rnacentral:rRNA from 1 species
GACGUAGGGCGCGAGCGUUGUCCGGAUUUAUUGGGCGUAAAGAGCUCGUAGGCGGUUUGUCGCGUCGUUCGUGAAAACCCACGGCUUAACUGUGGGCUUGCGGUCGAUACGGGCAGGCUAGAGUUCGGUAGGGAGACGUGGAAUUCCUGGUGUAGCGGUGAAAGUGCGCAGAUAUCAGGAGGAACACCGGUGGCGAAGGCGGGUCUCUGGGCCGAUACUGACGCUGAGGAGCGAAAGCGUGGGGAGCGAACAGG